AUUAAACACAAAAUCCUAAUUCUCUUGUACCCAACCCUAGCCGCCACUAACAUUUUCCUUAUCACAGACACACGGUAGAAAAAAGAAAAAAAAAGAAACAAAAGAAAGGGAAGAACGAAGUGGGGACAGGGAAAUCAGGGAAGAAAAAAAGAAAGAAAGGGAAAGAAUAGAAAGGGGGAAAACAGGGGAAGCUUGAAGAAAGAAAGAUAGGGAAGGGAGAAAGAGGUAUCGAGGGAGAAGAGAGGAGGAACGGCUCCGGCGAGGAGCCCACAGUCGCUGCCGUCGCGUCGCCAAAGGGAUCAGAGCCGCGAAGAGAGAGAGCUCAGGAGAGAGAGGAGCGUCACCAUCGUUGUCACGGUCGCAGGCGUGAAGGCCGCCGCUGUCGCCGCGCCUUGCCUAGUCGCCGUUGAGAUGGCUGAGCGCAAGGAAGAAGUAGCUUUCGUCGUCACCAAGCCGUCACUGCCGGUCCAUCCACGAGCCGCCACCAGAGUCGUGAACGAACAGAGGAGGAGAAGAACGCGUGGUGGUGGGUGUUCUCUUAGCCAUCGCCGUCGAAGGAUGCUCCACCGCCGCCGUUGAAGGAACUAUCGCCACGAGAGCCCUAGCCAUCGUCGCUGUGGGAGCUCGCCACCACUGUGAAAAUGAACCGAGGUAAGCAUUUGAAGAUUUUGUUGUAAACCUCACCGUCAAGCCUAGAAGGAGUCGCCGCUGUUGUUGUCUCGGGAACCAAAUGAAGAGGCAUUAAGGAGAGUUAUACUGUGUUUGGUUUAUAUGUUAUUGUAUUAAUUAGAUUAUUUUCUUCCCUCGUCUU